rnacentral:misc_RNA from 1 species
GAUGAAGAACGCAGCGAAAUGCGAUACGUAAUGUGAAUUGCAGAAUUCAGUGAAUCAUCGAAUCUUUGAACGCAUAUUGCGCUCUCUGGUAUUCCGGAGAGCAUGCUUGUUUGAGUAUCAGUAAACACCUCAACUCCCCUUUCUUUUUUUGAAAUGGGAGCUGGACUUGAGUGAUCCCAACGCUUUUCUCACCGAAAAGUGGCGAGUUACUUGAAAUGCAGGUGCAGCUGGACUUUUCUCUGAGCUAAAAGCAUAUCUAUUUAGUCUGCCUAAAAAACAGAUUAUUACCUUUGCUGCAGCUAACAUAAAGGAGAUUAGUUCUUGUGCUGACUGAUGCAGGAUUCACAGAGACAGCUUCGGCUGGCCUUUGUAAACUCGAUCUCAAAUCAAGUAAGACUACCCGCUGAACUUAAGCAUAUCAAUAAGCGGAGGA